AGCAGUCGCCGCGGGAAUACGGAGGGUGCAAGCGUUGUCCGGAUUUAUUGGGUUUAAAGGGUGCGUAGGCGGCCUAAUAAGUCAGUGGUGAAAGCCUCCAGCUUAACUGGAGAACUGCCAUUGAUACUGUUGGGCUUGAGUAUACUUGAGGUAGGCGGAAUUGACAGUGUAGCGGUGAAAUGCAUAGAUAUUGUCAAGAACACCAAUUGCGAAGGCAGCUUACUAAAUUAUAACUGACGCUGAGGCACGAAAGCGUGGGGAGCAAACAGGAUUAGAUACCCGAGUAGUCCCUGUCUCUUAUAU
rnacentral:rRNA from 1 species